AGUCUAGGGGCUCCUUCGGGAGCACCGGCGGACGGCUCAGUAACACGUGGACAACCUGCCCUCGGGUGGGGGAUAACCCCGGGAAACUGGGGCUAAUCCCUCAUAGGUGAUGGGUGCUGGAAUGCCCCAUCUCCGAAAGCGCUCAGCGCCCGAGGAUGGGUCUGCGGCGGAUUAGGUAGUUGGUGGGGUAACGGCCCACCAAGCCUAAGAUCCGUACGGGCUGUGGGAGCAGGAGCCCGGAGAUGGACCCUGAGACAAGGGUCCAGGCCCUACGGGGCGCAGCAGGCGCGAAACCUCCGCAAUGCGGGAAACCGCGACGGGGUUAGCCGGAGUGCCCGUGCAUCGCACGGGCUGUCGGGGUGCCUAAACAGCACCCCAUAGCAAGGGCCGGGCAAGGCCGGUGGCAGCCGCCGCGGUAAGACCGGCGGCCCGAGUGGCGGCCACUCUUAUUGGGCCUAAAGCGUCCGUAGCCGGCUCAGUAAGUCCCCCGGGAAAUCUGGUCGCUUAACGAUCAGACUUCCGGGGGAUACUGCUGAGCUAGGGACCGGGAGAGGCCGAGGGUAUUCCCGGGGUA
rnacentral:rRNA from 1 species